rnacentral:rRNA from 1 species
AGAGUUUGAUCCUGGCUCAGAAUGAACGCUGGCGGCGUGCUUAACACAUGCAAGUCGUGCGCGAAGGUGGCUUCGGCCACCGGAGAGCGGCGAACGGGUGAGUAACACGUGGGUGAUCUGCCCUGGAGCGGGGGAUAACCUGGGGAAACUCGGGCUAAUACCGCAUACGUUGAUCUGGUUGCGAUCAGGUCAAGAAAGCUGGCCUCUAUUUAUAAGCUAGCGCUCUUGGAGGAGCCCGCGGCUGAUUAGCUAGUUGGUAGGGUAAUGGCCUACCAAGGCUACGAUCAGUAGCCGGCCUGAGAGGGUGAUCGGCCACACUGGGACUGAGACACGGCCCAGACUCCUACGGGAGGCAGCAGUGGGGAAUAUUGGACAAUGGGCGCAAGCCUGAUCCAGCAACGCCGCGUGGAGGACGAAGGUCUUCGGAUCGUAAACUCCUGUCAGGCGGGACGAAGGCUUCCGGGCAAAUAGUCUGGAAGCUUGACGGUACUGCCAGAGGAAGCCCCGGCUAACUCCGUGCCAGCAGCCGCGGUAAUACGGAGGGGGCUAGCGUUAUUCGGAAUUAUUGGGCGUAAAGGGCGCGUAGGCGGCCCGGUAAGUCAAAGGUGAAAUCCCUCGGCUCAACUGAGGAACUGCCUUUGAAACUGUCGGGCUUGAGGCCGGGAGGGGGUAGCGGAAUUCCCAGUGUAGCGGUGAAAUGCGUAGAUAUUGGGAGGAACACCGGUGGCGAAGGCGGCUACCUGGACCGGUUCUGACGCUGAUGCGCGAAAGCGUGGGUAGCAAACAGGAUUAGAUACCCUGGUAGUCCACGCUGUAAACGAUGGGUGCUCGGUGUCGCGGGUAUCGACCCCUGCGGUGCCUUAGCUAACGCGUUAAGCACCCCGCCUGGGGAGUACGGUCGCAAGGCUGAAACUUAAAGGAAUUGACGG